UGAACUACCCCCAAACCCUUUCAUUUGUUACCACCUGUAGCCCUUGAAUCCCUCUUCUCUCAAUUCUCUCUAUAGCCUCACAUAAACCCUAGCCGACGCCACCCAAUUCUACCCUAAUUACUUUCAAUCCAUGCCUAAUCUGUGGAGUCCCAUGGCCGUGCAAGAUGUAUAUCAGCCUCCUCCAUCUUCUGGUGGCUCGUUUGAGUGAUUUCAUGGACAAAUCUCGAAGAGAUUUGGUCCAGUCCUUGCUCGACUUUGAUCAUUGGUCCUUUUCUCCCAUCUAUUGUUGUUCAAGUCAGAUACUUGGCUUUUACGACAAGAUUGGUAUUUUUUAAAGCCUUUCUCACUUUCUCUGGGUUCUUUGAAACCCUAGCUCUAAGAGCUGUUCAAUUUUUCGUUUAGAUCUGUGUAUGCUAUGAUUUUCUUGAGGUUUUCUCAAAGGUUCUACGAUUUUCUUUCAAAGUAACUCUUCAUUUUCUAAUUAGGGGUACCUAAUUUUUCCCCUAUUUUCAGUGUGUUUUUAUGAUUUUUACUAUGUUUGUUCAUGUUUGCUGCUACCUGGUUCAUCGUGCUAAAAGCACUGAGUGUUUUUGGCUCUACCUGAGUUUCUGAUACUCUCUUGGUUUAUUUUAUACACAUGUUUGGUUCGAUUAAGUCCUUUGCGUUUGAAUCUUUUGUCUAGUUUGCCUUAUCUGAUCCUGAGUUCUUACCAUCUUUUAAACUAGACUAUUAUUGAAACUUUAAUUUCUUGAAAGGUUUUCAUCACUUGUUACUGUGAGACCAUUACUUGUUUCUGACUCUCUUUAUCUGUUGAAAUUGUUUCCUUAUUUUUGGGUUGUAUGUGUGAGCCCUGACUAUUUGACUUUACUGAGCCUUAGCCUACUCUUGUUAUUGCUGCAUGUUUGUAUAUAUCUAGUUAUCUCUUUUGCCAAUACGUUUGGCCUUGCAUGUCAUAUAUUUCUGUUCAUUCUAUUUAUAUGUCAAGGUGCAGAAUCAUGACUGUUUCCAGAAUGAUUCUGAUUAUCUCGAUGUUGUGAUUAAUUGCAAAGGGUUCCCUUAUAAACCUUAAUUUUUAUUCAUUUUGUUUAAGUUGAUUGAUUCCCCUCCUUUAACUACUCUUAUUUUUUACCUUGCUGAAUUAUUUUCCAAAACUAAGCAUAUUUUAUAUAUAGAUUCAAUUAUUUACUUCAUAGUUUUACUUCCCCCUUAUAUGGCAAGAAUCAAUUUUCUUAAACUCAUUUCUUCCUUAAUUAACCAUGUUUAGUAUCUGUUUGAGCAGUAAUCCAUUAAUUGAAAGGGAGUACUCGUGUUAAUUGAUUCUGAUUGUGAUUAUUUCCAUGUUUGAGUUGAAACUUUACUGCUUGCCUUAUUCUUCACUCGUUUUCAAAAUUAUAAAUACUCUACCCUCUCUUCUUUCAAAGAGACUAACAAUUUGAGUUCAAAAUACACACUUAAACUAAAAACUCUGUCUUUUUUACUACUACUUGUGCUUUGCUUUGUCUAGCCGGCCGAAGGCCAAGGCUAGUCUGUCGAAUCCUUCCUACUCUUCUUUUCUGCACUUUGCUUCUCUAUUGGUAUGUCCUAGUUUAUUUUUUAAGCCUCAAUAACAACAUGUGUUCUUUAAUUGUUUCAAUUUCCCUUUUUUUUUGUCUACUCCUGUUAUGGUUCUGCAGUCAAGUUACAUCUACUAGCAUGUUGUAACUUGUUCCCUCCUCCUUAGAUUAAUGCUUCCCCUAUAUGUGUUUUGAAGUAUACCCUGUCAGUCUCUUAUUGUGAACUUGUUGUCUUACAAAGUCCACACCCCCAUAUCCCUUCUAUGUGUUUGUGUGCCUUUGAUUAGUUUGUGGUCAUACCAGUAUCAGCUAUUGUUGUGCAUGAACAUAUCAGACCCCUACUGGGGUCGUGUGCUUACAAACAAUUUAUCCCCAAAUCCUCUGACCCCUUUUGUAUGACCACUGAUUCUGUGUAGUUUAUCUAUUUUACUAUUACAAAUUGAUUUCAAUCACCUAUGUCACUAAUUGCUUUCAAAAAUGGACUAUGAGUCCAGCUUUUCAAAUAAAUCUCUUCCAACAUGUGUGUUGCACUUCCAUUAUACUCUUAGAAUCUAGGUUUUUGCCCCUCUUGUGUGAGCUUUACCUUGAGACCCUUGAGCUCCCUCUGAACUUUGACACAUAAGAGCUGGCCCUUCCACUGCACUCAUUCUGUUUGGUUAUGCAAAUCGGGUUGUAAGCAUUGCCUGGGAUCCCUCGAGGUCCUUAGAAACCUUUGAUGCACCAAGUUAUGAGAAAGGCUUUGAAAUAUUGGCAUUGAAGUGGUUCAUUACAUAACUCAGAGAGCAAGUCAAGAUCAAGCUUCCUUUGAUUGUAAUUUCUUAUUUCUGCACUUCUUUUGUAAUUCAAUCAUUUGGACUGAAAUAAUUUGUAAGCAAUGUCGAAGUAAUUAGUGAAAAGGGUGGGCAGUUGUAUAUUGUGGGUAAGUUGGGUAAAUAACAUGCCUAUAGGGUCUAUUUUGCUUCAAAUAU
rnacentral:lncRNA from 1 species